rnacentral:rRNA from 1 species
UACGGAGGGUGCGAGCGUUGUCCGGAAUCACUGGGCGUAAAGGGCGCGUAGGUGGCCCGUUAAGUGGCUGGUGAAAUCCCGCGGCUCAACUGCGGGGCUGCCGGUCAUACUGGCGAGCUAGAGCACGGUAGGGGCAGAUGGAAUUCCCGGUGUAGCGGUGGAAUGCGUAGAGAUCGGGAGGAACACCAGUGGCGCAGGCGGCGUCCUGGACCGGCACUGACGCUGAGGAGCGAAAGCGUGGGGAGCGAUCCGG